UGGAUAGCAUUGAUAACAGUCCACAAU
rnacentral:piRNA from 1 species